AGACCCGAAACCCGGUGAUCUAGCCAUGGGCAGGUUGAAGGUUGGGUAACACUAACUGGAGGACCGAACCGACUAAUGUUGAAAAAUUAGCGGAUGACCUGUGGCUGGGGGUGAAAGGCCAAUCAAACCGGGAGAUAGCUGGUUCUCCCCGAAAGCUAUUUAGGUAGCGCCUCGUGAAUUCAUCUCCGGGGGUAGAGCACUGUUUCGGCUAGGGGGCCAUCCCGGCUUACCAACCCGAUGCAAACUGCGAAUACCGGAGAAUGUUAUCACGGGAGACACACGGCGGGUGCUAACGUCCGUCGUGAAGAGGGAAACAACCCAGACCGCCAGCUAAGGUCCCAAAGUCAUGGUUAAGUGGGAAACGAUGUGGGAAGGCCCAGACAGCCAGGAUGUUGGCUUAGAAGCAGCCAUCAUUUAAAGAAAGCGUAAUAGCUCACUGGUCGAGUCGGCCUGCGCGGAAGAUGUAACGGGGCUAAACCAUGCACCGAAGCUGCGGCAGCGACACUGUGUGUUGUUGGGUAGGGGAGCGUUCUGUAAGCCUGUGAAGGUGUGUCGUGAGGCAUGCUGGAGGUAUCAG
rnacentral:rRNA from 1 species